AUCUAGGACCAUGCCACCCUGAAAGUGGCUUAUCUCGUCUGAUCUCAGAACCUAAGCAGGUCAGGCCUGGUUAGUACUUGGAUGAGAGAUUUGGGUGAUGACACACAGCCAAACCACAUC
ensembl:rRNA 5S_rRNA 5S ribosomal RNA